UGGGGAAUCUUAGACAAUGGGGGCAACCCUGGUCUAGCCAUGCCGCGUGAGUGAUGAAGGCCUUCGGGUUGUAAAGCUCUUUCGGGGGGAAGGCGGUACCCCCAGAAGAAGCCCCGGCUAACUCCGUGCCAGCAGCCGCGGUAAUACGGAGGGGGCUAGCGUUGUUCGGAAUUACUGGGCGUAAAGCGCACGUAGGCGGAUCGGAAAGUCGGGGGUGAAAUCCCGGGGCUCAACCCCGGAAUGGCCUUCGAAACUACUGGUCUGGAGUCCGAGAGAGGUGGGUGGAAUUCCGAGUGUAGAGGUGAAAUUCGUAGAUAUUCGGAGGAACACCAGUGGCGAAGGCGGCCCACUGGCUCGGUACUGACGCUGAGGUGCGAAAGCGUGGGGAGCAAACAGGAUUAGAUACCCCUGUAGU
rnacentral:rRNA from 1 species